UUAGUUAUUUUUUGAUUAAUCAUGUUUUAGUGAUUUUAGUAUUAGUUUAACCUUUAGUUUGAAUAUGUUUGGAUUCGGUGUUUACUUUUAUAGGUUUUAAUUUCUCCAGUUAGUAUUCAAUUUUAAUUUAGAUAGAAAUGUUGUAGGUUAAACUAGAACACCCUAGACUCUUCUAGAAUAGGGCCUUAGUUCUAAUUUAAGAAGCUUGGGGCAGUAACUUGAGAAACAAGUCAAAACAUUAAGGGAUAUUAAAUAAAAACAGAAAAUAAAAGGGGGAAAAUGGGUAAUUAAAUCUAGAAUUUUCUUCCCCCUUUUUUCUACCUAUAAAAGGCAGUAUACCUGCCUUCUUUUAUAAGUUUUGAACCCUGAAAAAAUUCCCAAAAGUUCCAGCUCUGAAAAAUCUCCCCAAAAAAAAACCUCCUAAUUCAAAUCUCUGAAGUUUGAAAAUUCACAAUCCAAAUGCAAGCAAUUGAAGUUCGAUCUCUAUCUUUCAGAAGUUCAGAAAAUAAUACCAAAAACUCGGAAAAAAAAAGGUCGUGCUAUUCUGCUGUAGUUCGUAGUCCAAUUUCAAAUUCUAGUUCCUACUUCAAAAUUCUAGUUUACAUAAGGGCAAAGUAGCUUAGAUAUUCUAGUUUUGAUCAAUAUUUGAGGUUUUAAAGACUGUUGGGUUAAUUACACGCUAAAUUUUGUUUUGUUCUAGUCAAUUUUGGUUGUAUACUGGUUUUUCAUGGCUGAAUUCCAAGCUGAAAUUACUGUUGUUGUGCUCUUUCACCUGUUGCUGACCUCCUUCUUCUCCUUUGUUUCAUUGCAAUCCCAGGUAUUCUUCAACUUCGAAUAUGUGAAGGACCAAAUCCACGGUUCUAUUCGAAUUGCUGAAUAAAUGACCAAUUCUCAUGUUGAUUUCAAGUUUAGCUUAUUUCCAUACUUGUUAGUUCACAUGUUGGAUUGUAUAGUAAUAGUAUUUGAUAUUAAUUGCAUAUAACAGGACUGUUUAACCGGAUUGUAUAAUUGGGAUGUGUAAUAGAUCUUAAUUAUAGACUAUGUUAGUUCGUAUGCUAGCAUAUGUAUAGCUUCUGAUGACUGUAUAAUCUAGACUAUUGUAGAUCGCAAAAAAAAUUAUAUUUCAAUAAAAUAGGAUCCUUGAAUUUGAUGUUAAGCAAUUCAGUUUCGUGUUCUAAAAGAUUACGCUAGUUUAGAUCUGAAGAGCAAAUCUAGAAUUAAAUUGAUAAUUGUACUAAAUUUGAAUGUUUCUUUCUGUUUGUUAUUCCAA
rnacentral:lncRNA from 1 species